GGAUAGAGAGAUGUGAGCAAAAGAUGCGUGUGCAAACAAAACCAGAAGAAGAAUUGAAUCAAGGUUGUGAGAAAACAAAGAUGAGCGUGGACUGGUCUGAACUACCACCAGAAAUCAUACAAACAAUCUCACAAAAGUUAACAAUCUACGCCGAUUACAUCCGAUUCCGAUCCAUCUCUCACACCUUCCUAUCUUCCAUUCCUAAAACCCCUCACCAUCUCCCACCUCAACUCCCAUGCCUCCUUCUUUCUCACCAAUCCUUCUUCAACAUCUCCACCCACAAAACCCAUCUCUUCAAUCUUCCUCUUCCUUCUCAUCGCACUCGUAUUUGCGCUUCUUCUCAUGGCUGGCUCAUAAUUCUCAAUGAAACCCCUCAGAUUCGUCUUUUUAAUCCCUUAACAUGUGUCACUCUUUUUCUUCCUCCUAUUCACACUUUCCCUAACGUGGUAAGCUUUGAUUAUUCAAAUAUCGGCCGUGAGUAUUCGGUUACAAACGAUAGUUAUUUAAGAUUUUUUAGUUUGAGACAAAUGUGUGAUGAUUUCAUAGCUAAAAUUGUAUUGUCAACAAGCCCUUCGCUUAGCGAUGAAUUCGUUGCACUUGCUAUUGUUGAUGGUUAUAGUUGUAAUAAUCUGGCUUUCUGUAAAAAAGGUUAUGAUUCUUGGAUUUUCCUAACCAAAAAGAAUGAUUACUAUUUUUGGGAAGAUGUUGUGUAUUACAAUGGAUUGUUUUAUGCUGUCAGCAAAGGAGGAACAAUUGCUGUGUGCGAUGUUAAUAGUCAUCGAGUUUCCAUUUUUCAGAUGACGGUGCCUGUUCAAUUCUCCGGGGAUAUUCACUAUGUGGUGUUCUCUGGUGAGGAUAUGUUGUUGGUAAAUCGGGUUUUGGAAGAGGAUUUUUCGGAUGAACCCAAUUAUGAUAUGCUUGUGUAUAGGACGGUGGGAUUUACGGUUUUUAAGAUGGAUUGGAAUGCCAUGGCAUGGAAUAGAAUUGAAGCGUUGGGUGAUAAGGCUUUGUUUGUUGGGGUGAAUUCUUCAAUGUGUUUUUCUGCUGGUGAUUUUGUAGGAUGUUGUGGAGAUUGUAUCUAUUUCACGGAUGAUUAUUCAGAGGAUAAUCAUGAUGAUGCUUGUGGGAAACAUGAUUUUGGCAUCUUUAGAUUAUAUGAUGGGAUCAUUGACCCGCUAUUGCCCAGUUAUUCUCGAAAUUCAUAUUCUCGGUUAGAAUGCCCACUUCCAAUUUGGAUUUCGCCAAAUCCUUGCUAAGUUGUAUUCUUUCUCUUUCAGUGAAACGAGUUUGUGAAUCCAGGGAGAUAGAUAUAUCCGCUCCUAUUUAAUUCAUACGCAGCUCUUUGUGUGUGCACAUAUCUACAUCAUAUUACAUUGCAUCAGCUGUUACACUCCAGUUCCAUUAUUAUAUAAAGGAGAAGUUGACAGAGGAAAAACAUCACCAAUUCCUUGAAGCUUUGAAACAUGGUUGUGAAUUGCAGCUAAUUUUCCCUAGCCUAAUCUCAUUUCCACCGAGGCCUUUUCGGGAUCUAAGAAUUGUGUUGAGUCUCAAUCAACCUGUGACCAAGAUAACCAAGCAAGCUUUUGGUGUCUCUAACUAUGAA